UGGAGUUGUGAAAAAUAGGAAAAUGAAGGGGAACAGAGGGAAGCCUAUGUAUGGACAAGAGGAACAGAAGACAGGGGACAGGACCCUCCCCACAUCACCCUGCUCACCGAGCUGCUGCGAUGGGUGACUUCUUGGCAGGGUCCAGCAGACU